UGUCAAAGCUCUUCUUAAAGGAGUCCACACCUUCCAGCUCAAGCUGCUUUCCAACCGCGUCCCAGUCGAUGCCAAGCUUCUCCAAGGCGCUGUAUACACCUUCCGCCUCGGACACAUUCGCAUCAACUGUCCUUGAAACAGUGCCAUGGUCUAUGAAUGCCUGCAAAGCUUGGUCGGGCAUCGUGUUGACCUGAAAGUGCAUCAUUCCAGAGUUAUUUUUGUGAUGAUAAGAACAAUGCCGAUUCAAGUGGAAACUCGUCACGAAAACAUACCGUGUCAGGUCCAAUGAGACUGUCCACAUAAAGAGUGUCAGGAUAAGCUGGGUUUUUGACACCGGUGGAUGCCCACAACAACCUCUGUUUCUUGGCACCUUUCUUGGCCAACGCCUCCCACCUUGGUCCAGAGAAUUUCUUCUGGUAGAGCUGAUUU
rnacentral:lncRNA from 1 species